rnacentral:tRNA from 1 species
GCCUCUGUGGCGCAGCGGUAGUGCGCUUGUCUGUUACACCGGAGGUCCUGGGUUCGAAUCCCGGCCAGGGCA